GACGAACGCUGGCGGCGUGCCUAAUACAUGCAAGUCGAACGCAGUGGGGACGGGUGAGGAACCCGUGGGUAACCUCCCAUCAGAGGGGAUAACACUUGGCAACAGGUGCUAAACCGAUACUGAUGGAUGGACCCGCGGUUGAUUAGCUAGGUGGUGAGGUAACGGCGCACCAAGGCCACGAGUCAUAGCUGACCGGAGAGGAGGAUCUGCCACACUGGUACUGAGACACGGCCCAGACUCCUACGUGAGGCAGCAGUAGGGAAUCUUCGGCAAUGGGCGAAAGCCUGACCGAGCAACGCCGCGUGAGUGAAGAAGGUUUUCGGAUCGUAAAGCUCUGUUGGUAGGGAAGCGUUAUCUAACCAGGAAGCCCCGGCUAACUACGUGCCAGCAGCCGCGGUAAUAC
rnacentral:rRNA from 1 species